GACGAACGCUGGCGGCGUGCCUAAUACAUGCAAGUAGAACGCUGAAGGAGGAGCUUGCUUCUCUGGAUGAGUCGCGAACGGGUGAGUAACGCGUAGGUAACCUGCCUGGUAGCGGGGGAUAACUAUUGGAAACGAUAGCUAAUACCGCAUAAGAGUAGAUGUCGCAUGACUUUUGCUUAAAAGGUGCAAUUGCAUCACUACCAGAUGGACCUGCGUUGUAUUAGCUAGUUGGUGAGGUAACGGCUCACCAAGGCAACGAUACAUAGCCGACCUGAGAGGGUGAUCGGCCACACUGGGACUGAGACACGGCCCAGACUCCUACGGGAGGCAGCAGUAGGGAAUCUUCGGCAAUGGACGGAAGUCUGACCGAGCAACGCCGCGUGAGUGAAGAAGGUUUUCGGAUCGUAAAGCUCUGUUGUAAGAGAAGAACGAGUGUGAGAGUGGAAAGUUCACACUGUGACGGUAUCUUACCAGAAAGGGACGGCUAACUACGUG
rnacentral:rRNA from 1 species